GAUGAACGCUGGCGGCGUGCUUAACACAUGCAAGUCGAACGAUGAAGCCCAGCUUGCUGGGUGGAUUAGUGGCGAACGGGUGAGUAACACGUGAGUAACCUGCCCUUGACUCUGGGAUAAGCCUGGGAAACUGGGUCUAAUACUGGAUAUGACUUCUCAUCGCAUGGUGGGGGGUGGAAAGAUUUAUUGGUCUUGGAUGGACUCGCGGCCUAUCAGCUUGUUCGUGAGGUAAUGGCUCACCAAGGCGACGACGGGUAGCCGGCCUGAGAGGGUGACCGGCCACACUGGGACUGAGACACGGCCCAGACUCCUACGGGAGGCAGCAGUGGGGAAUAUUGCACAAUGGGCGCAAGCCUGAUGCAGCGACGCCGCGUGAGGGAUGACGGCCUUCGGGUUGUAAACCUCUUUCAGUAGGGAAGAAGCGAGAGUGACGGUACCUGCAGAAGAAGCGCCGGCUAACUACGUG
rnacentral:rRNA from 1 species